rnacentral:lncRNA from 1 species
AGAAAAAAUUAUAAACAUUUCAAACUGCAGAUUGAAAAAUGGGGGAAAACUCCUCAAGCAAUUUCAUACUAGGAAAUACACAACUUCAACAUGUGUGCAAUCUUUCUGCAAAGUUUCGAUGGUGCAGAAACACUGAAAAUAGAAAAUACAAAUAUUAUGCCAAAUGGUGCUAUAUAGUGAAAUAUUUACACAAAGGACCAAAUUUAGUAAUGUGAAAGUGAACUCAAAGAUGAUAAAAAUACUGAUUCUUUAAAAUAAAAAA